GCUGGAGGAGGUGCGACGCCGGUCGGCGAGGUUUCGCCCACCGGCGUUUUCUG
rnacentral:sRNA from 1 species